GAAAUUUCUUGUUGUAGCAAGGAGAGAAUGAGGAGAAGAAAAAGAAGAAAGAAGGCAAGAAGAAGAAGGAGAAGGAAAGAGAAAGGGAGCUCGCACUUGCUUUUUGGGAUCAGCUGAUCCUAACUACACAGUAAUGGAGACACUAAUGAGCUACCAGGUUCUAGCACAAAGUGUGAUACCCUACUUUCUAAACCUGGUUUAUUUACCCGAUUGGUUCGGUUUGGUCGUGUAGGGUUUGAACCCGAUCGAGUUGAGAUGGGUACCCUGUGGAACAUGAUGGCAAGAGUGACUCUAAACUUGGGUUGGUCAAGCGAAUCUAAACCAGUGCCUAGUGAAGUCCGCGUACCAAUCUGUGUACUUGCACAUAUCACAAGGCUAUGUACUGACAAUAGAGGUACGUAGCCGUAUUUUAUGAUGAGAACGUAUUAUAAAUCAUAUAUCGGGAGUGAGACAUAUGUCGGGAGCUGAGUCCCGUCGAAAUCCCAAUUAAUUGGCUAAGUUUUGGCUAACUGAUGGGUGGUCAUAGGUGGGUUGGAUCCACCAGUGUGACCUACCAAUCUGGUCAUUAGAUAUUUUGACCUAGGUUAAAUAGCAAUUAUUACUCUUCUUUUCCAUCAUUUAAUGUUUUACAAGGUGUGUGCGAAGAGUAAAGAAAAGAGAAAAAAAAGGAAAAAAAAAAGGGAGGAAGAAGAGGAAGAAAUGCUCAUGGUGCGACGCCAAGGUUAGAUUUUUCCAUUUCGCCACCGAAAAAGUGAUCCUCGUCUUGAGAUCUACAAUUUGAGGUGAGUGAAGGCUAUAUUUCUUCAACCCUCAAGAAACCCUAAGUGAAACCCUUUGAUUUGGGUAGAAAUCCUUUAGAUCUUGUUAAUCCCACUUAAGAAAAUAAAUCUAAGGUUUAAUGGAAGACCUACAUGUUAAUUUUUGAAGGUUUAGGUGAAGAAAUUGCAAGAUUUGAAGAUCAAUUGAUGAUUUCUUGAGUUGAAGAAGAGAUUGGAAGUUUUGAAGGUGUUCUUGAGCAAAGAGGUAAGAUCGGUGCGUGAAACUUUGAAUCGACCCUAGAUCUAGGUUAGAAUCACAAUAUGGGACCUUUAGAUGUGUGAAAAAUGAGGUCGAAUCGAACCCUUGUGGUUUCCCCAAGGUGGGAUGAAGAAUGGAAGUGAACAGCAUAAUUCCGAUUCUGAUUGGUGGGUGCCUUAGGAAGUGAUAGACCCACCAAUCCGGAGCCCUCCUAUCCUGGUUGGGUUUCUAGCCCGAUCAAAGGGUAAGGACUGGUAGGCACUUGGCCCACCGCUCCUGGCCUGUCGGUCCUAACAGAGCUCCUAGGACGAGCUGUGGGAAAAGACUAAUGGGUAAAUUUGCCCGCCACUCCCAGCCCAUCGGUCCUGAUAGAGACCAUAGCCCAACCAGCAGGUAAUGACCGACGAGCACCUGGCCCACCGGUUGACCUACCAAUGAGGCCUAUCGGACUUCGAUGGUGUUUAAAUUUUUUGGGCAACCUUCUUUUGCGAUUUUAAAUGCGCUUUGAAUAUCAUACUUCAUUGAUUUUGACCUGAAAGUGGCGAAAUGCUAAACUUACUUGCUUAUGAUAGGUUCUACUAGGAACUCGCGUCUUCUCAUGAUAGAUCUCCCUCGUACCGGGCAUGAGCUAUUAUACAUAAUAGGUAAGUGGGGAGAGGAUGUUGACUUUAUUUUUGGAGUGUUUUUACAUCAUUCCAUUAUUGUUGUUGAUUAGCCAUGUCAUCAUUUUAUUACUGUGUGUAGACUAGCCAACCAUGAAUGCCAUUUGCAUGCAUUGUCUUAUGCAUUAUGAAACUCGUUUAUGAUUUGUUA